rnacentral:misc_RNA from 1 species
UGCUGAGCAGCAAGCUUGUAUUC